CCUACGGGAGGCAGCAGUGGGGAAUAUUGCACAAUGGGGGAAACCCUGAUGCAGCAACGCCGCGUGAAGGAAGACGGUUCUCGGAUUGUAAACCUCUGUUCGUAGGGAAGAAAAAUGACGGUAGCGACGGAGCAAGCCACGGCUAACUACGUGCCAGCAGCCGCGGUAAUACGUAGGUGGCAAGCGUUGUCCGGAAUUACUGGGUGUAAAGGGAGCGCAGGCGGGAAGCCAAGUCAGCUGUGAAAACUACGGGCUUAACUUGUAGACUGCAGUUGAAACUGGUUUUCUUGAGUGAAGUAGAGGUUGGCGGAAUUCGUAGUGUAGCGGUGAAAUGCGUAGAGAUUCGGAGGAACACCGGUGGCGAAGGCGGCCUACUGGGCUUUAACUGACGCUGAGGCUCGAAAGUGUGGGGAGCAAACAGGAUUAGAUACCCUUGUAGUC
rnacentral:rRNA from 1 species